GAUGAACGCUAGCUACAGGCUUAACACAUGCAAGUCGGGGGGAAGCGAUAGAGAAAGCCUGCUUUUUCUAGGCGUCGACCGGCGCACGGGUGAGUAACGCGUAUCCAACCUGCCCAUCACUUGGGGAUAACCUUGCGAAAGUAAGACUAAUACCCAAUGACGUCUCUAGAAGACAUCUGAAGGAGAUUAAAGAUUUAUCGGUGAUGGAUGGGGAUGCGUCUGAUUAGCUUGUUGGCGGGGUAACGGCCCACCAAGGCGACGAUCAGUAGGGGUUCUGAGAGGAAGGUCCCCCACAUUGGAACUGAGACACGGUCCAAACUCCUACGGGAGGCAGCAGUGAGGAAUACUGGUCAAUGGACGAGAGUCUGAACCAGCCAAGUAGCGUGCAGGAUGACGGCCCUAUGGGUUGUAAACUGCUUUUAUAAGGGAAUAAAGUGAGCCACGUGUGGCUUUUUGCAUGUACCUUAUGAAUAAGGACCGGCUAAUUCCGUGCCAGCCGCCGCAGUAA
rnacentral:rRNA from 1 species